UUGGGCUGUGAUGGGGAGUGAAAAUUAUAGUAGCGAAGGUCAUGAUCUCAGACUGCCAAGAAAAGCCUCUAGCCAGGUGAAGGUGCCCGUACCGCAAACCGACACAGGUAGGCGAGAAGAGAAUUCUAAGGCGCGCGGAAGAACUCUCGUUAAGGAACUCGGCAAAAUGACCCCGUAACUUCGGGAGAAGGGGUGCCCCGGUAGUGUGAAUAGCACGAGGGGGCCGCAGUGAAAAGGCCCAAGCGACUGUUUAGCAAAAACACAGGUCUGUGCGAAGCCGCAAGGCGAAGUAUACGGGCUGACGCCUGCCCGGUGCUGGAAGGUUAAGGGGAGUGGUUAGGGGUUUACCCCGAAGCUAUGAACUGAAGCCCCAGUAAACGGCGGCCGUAACUAUAACGGUCCUAAGGUAGCGAAAUUCCUUGUCAGGUAAAUUCUGACCCGCACGAAUGGCGUAACGACUUGGGCGCUGUCUCAACGAGAGAUCCGGUGAAAUUUUAAUACCUGUGAAGAUGCAGGUUACCCGCGACAAGACGGAAAGACCCCAUGGAGCUUUACUGCAGCUUGAUAUUGGACUUUGAUACGAUUUGUACAGGAUAGGUGGGAGCCUAGGAAUCCGGAGCGCCAGCUUCGGUGGAGGCGCCGUUGGGAUACCACCCUGAUCGUAUUGGAGUUCUAACCUGGUACCGUAAUCCGGUGCGGGGACAGUGUCAGGCGGGCAGUUUGACUGGGGCGGUCGCCUCCUAAAGAGUAACGGAGGCGCCCCAAGGUUCCCUCAGAAUGGUUGGAAAUCAUUCGAAGAGUGCAAAGGCAUAAGGGAGCUUGACUGCGAGACUGACAAGUCGAGCAGGGACGAAAGUCGGGCUUAGUGAUCCGGUGGUACCGCAUGGAAGGGCCAUCGCUCAACGGAUAAAAGCUACCCUGGGGAUAACAGGCUUAUCUCCCCCAAGAGUCCACAUCGACGGGGAGGUUUGGCACCUCGAUGUCGGCUCAUCGCAUCCUGGGGCUGAAGUAGGUCCCAAGGGUUGGGCUGUUCGCCCAUUAAAGCGGUACGCGAGCUGGGUUCAGAACGUCGUGAGACAGUUCGGUCCCUAUCUGUCGUGGGCGUAGGAAAUUUGAGAGGAGCUGUCCUUAGUACGAGAGGACCGGGAUGGACGCACCGCUGGUGUACCAGUUGUUCCGCCAGGAGCAUAGCUGGGUAGCUAAGUGCGGUAGGGAUAAGCGCUGAAAGCAUCUAAGCGUGAAGCCCCCCUCAAGAUGAGAUUUCCCAAUUCGUAAGACCCCUUGAAGACGACGAGGUUGAUAGGCCUGAGGUGGAAGUGCAGCAAUGUAUGGAGCUGACAGGUACUAAUCGGUCGAGGGCUUAUCCA
rnacentral:rRNA from 1 species